UACAUGGAAGGACUUUAGCUAUACGAUCUGCAGAACUUGCUGCUAGAGGGCUACCUUCUUUGAAGAAGCUGCCAAGCAAAGGAUCUACCUUUCUGCUGGGACAGAGCUUGUUGAUGGUCUCUGCUUAUCCAAACAUGGCAUCAGCGUCAGAGAGCGUGAAGCAUGAACCGGUUUACGAAGUUGGAGAGUUGUUUGAAUUAGGUAUUCAGCUUUCUUACUUGCUGUUGCUACUGGGUUUGCUCGGAGUUGGUACUUUCUAUGUGAUUCGUCAAGUACUUGUCCGCAGAGAGCUUGACCUCUCUGCCAAAGAGCUACAGGUAUUGAUUCUGAUCCCAAGUAUUAACCUUUGUGUUAGAAAUAGAAAAUUAGAUGAAAGGCCAGUAGAGAACUGAUGAAAUAAUAUUUGAUGUCUCUGAAUGUUUUUAGCAAACCAAUGUUAUUAGACUGAUUCAAGUAAGUAGCCAUGCUUAGACAGACUUUAAAACAUCUGAUCAAAACUGUUUUAUAUGGUUUUUGUGUUUGUCUGAAUAAUCUGAAGGAGCAAGUUAGGAGCGGGGAUGCAAGUGCAACAGAGCUCUUUGAGCUGGGUGCAGUGAUGCUGAGACGCAAAUUUUAUCCUGCAGCCAACAAGUUCUUGCUUCAAGCUAUCCAGAAAUGGGACGGUGACGAUCAAGAUCUUGCUCAGGUAAUAAUACAAAUUAAUUUACACACACAAGCACACACUGUUUCCAUCAAGUACAAAUGAUGAGUACAAUUCUCGAGACAGGUCUAUAACGCUCUUGGAGUGAGUUAUGUCCGAGAGGACAAACUGGACAAAGGAAUCGCUCAGUUUGAAAUGGCGGUGAAAAUUCAGCCUGGUUAUGUAACGGCUUGGAACAACCUUGGAGAUGCUUAUGAGAAGAAGAAGGAGCUGCCUUUGGCGUUGAAAGCGUUUGAAGAGGUUUUGUUGUUUGAUCCUAACAAUAAGGUGGCUCGGCCUCGCCGAGAUGCGUUGAAGGAUCGUGUUAAACUCUAUAAAGGCGUUGUGGCGGUCAAGUCCAAGAAACGGUGACGAAAAACCGAUAAACCAAGAACUCCCCCUCGUCUCUCUUAUGUUAUUUUUGUAAGGACAUUUUGUGUUAUUAUUAUGAAUAUGAAACUUGUUUACUGUUUUUACUCUUAACAAUAAAUCACUCAUCUUAUUAUUCAGAUAUCGAUACAAUGUUUAUAAAUAAUGAUAACAUGAUGAGAAAUAAGGUCACGCAAGAUACUAAAGAAGCAACAACGUAAAUAGAAGAUGUUCAGUGCAUGUAACAUAGAGGUUUUUGUUGUCUCAAGGACACUUGAGCUUAUUGCCGUGAGUACGGAGAUUAGCGUAGCAAGGACAUGAUGCUGUGUUGCCUGAGGUUCCGGGCGGCACGCACUGGCACUUGGCACAGCAACUUCCACAAGCUCUGUAACACACUUUCUUCCUCGACGUCUCUCUGCAUCUCCUCGCGCACGCAUACCCACAAUCUGCAAAUAUUUGGCUCAUACAUUAAUCAAAAAGUUGUUUGGCAAAAUAAAAGAAGAAGACUUAGAAUGUUACUAACUGAAUGGUGGACGAUGAUGGUAUGUUCUCUUAAACGCCUCCACUUGGUUCUCCUCGUUCGUCUGAAUCUAUAAGCAACACAAGAAACCGAGUUUAUUUGAUAUGGAAAGCUUGUUUUAAUAUGUUUUUAUUAUUUUUAUUUACCUGAGAAGCAGAGGAAGUUUCAGCGUUGCUGGACGAAGAUAGAUCUGCAAGUACCUGUGAAAGAAUCAGACAAGAACGUCUCAGUGUUUUUAGUUAGUAUGUUUGCAACAAAGAGAAGCUAAAUCUUGAACAAUGUUUUGAUCAUUUUUACCUGAGAAAGCAGAAGAAGAGAGAUGAGCAUAACAAAGGCCACCACUUUCAUCUUCUCCAUCUUGUCGGUUUUGAAGUAGUUUGUGAAAAUAGAAGCUGUGGAUGGUUCUUUAUAUAGACACAAUGUAGCUAUUUUGUCUUCUUCCUCUUUUCUUUUGUUGAGUGAAAAAAAAACCUCAUGUUGAUAGGUAUCACAUGCAAUAGGCUUUCAUCGCUGGACUAGACAUAAAUCACAGAUAUUAGAUUGAGUUUUGCUGUAAAGUGUUGGUGUUUGAUGCAACAGUUUUGAUUGGUCUUUGAGGAUAUAUCUAAUUUAUUACGCAAGGACGAAGAAGAAAAUUCAAACCUUGUUCACUGAAAUCUAAAUCAAGCUUAAAUACAUGAAAUGAGUGUAAAUUUACAGUAAAAAUAUAUAGGCUGGUUUUAACAAGGUACUGUAAUGUGUGUGACUUCACUGACUUGUCGACACACGUAUGGAGAGACAAGUGUACUUAAAGUGUAUAAAGAAAGAGGCAAUUAGGUAGUUUGAAAAUUAAUGUCUUAAUGAUAUCUUUGCCAUAAGAGUGUUAUAACAGCUGUCUCUUAGUUCAGACAUAGAACAGCUGAGAGAGAUAGAUGAAGAAAAACGCAUGCAGACGCAAUGUUGUUCGAAAAAGCAGAUGGCAAUGUUUGGCUCCGAUUGGUGAAAACGUAAUAUUAUUACUGUCUUCUAUAAACCACAUUCAAAAUUUCCAAACGCGCAUGAUGAGACUUUAAACGGAGAACGAAACCGAAUAACUACUUAGGCCACGAUUGUUUAUUUGCAUAAUUGCGUCUGUGUUGGUGUUUUCAUGUUAUAGGGAUCAAUAUGUAAGUUCAAACGCAAAGCUUUAUAUAAAUUUAUAUAGUUGAUAGGUUAUAUGCAUUUAAUACGGACAGAUUCGCAAGUUAAUAACUUAUUGAGAUGACUUAAUAUGAUUUUUACAAGUCAUCUCAAUUUUUUUUUAAACACUUAUUGAGAUGAUUUUACAAGUCACCGAUAUUAAUACAUGGGGUUUCAUCGACCAUACGGAAUAUGCAAUAAUAAUUUGAAACUAAAGAUUUGUAUGUUUCGUCUCAACAGGACUUUCUCUAGGUGUUCUGAAUCUGGCUAUUGUCGUCCCACAGGUAAAGAAAACGUUUGAAAUCAGUUUUAUUUAAUUAUUUACAAAAAAUGUUCACAUCCUGAUAUGUAUUUGUUGUUUCAUUAAAACGUAGAUGGUGGUAUCUGUGGGAGGUGGACCAUUCGAUGAACUAUUCCAUGGUGGAAACAUUCCGGCGUUUGUGCUAGGAGCAAUUGCGGCCGCGGUGAGUGGCAUAUUGGCUUUAACCGUGUUGCCUUCGCCGCCACCGGAUGCUCCAGCUUUCAAAACUGGGGCUAUGGGAUUUCAUUAAAGUUUUAGCAGUGUUUCAGUGGCUAUGUAACUCUCAUAAAACUGUAGUGUUAUUGUGCAAAUCCUACAUAAAGAGAAAAAAGGAAAUUCAUCUUCUUGGGUUGUUGGUUUAUAUUGUACCUAAACCCAUUGUGUUCCUUUUUUGUAACUGAAAUUUUCAAUUUGGAGUAUAUUUCACCUUUUGCCACCUUCAAGGCUUCAUUAUUACUACUUCAUUGUUUUGGAUCUUUCAGUCAUAUCUCACACAAGAAGAAUUGUAUUGUUUUUUUUGUUUCAUAAUAAAACUUAAAAUGUAAUAAUUAAUCUAGAAGAAUAAUUAUUUUUGAUGGUUUUCUUUUUUUUGUCAAGUGUAUUAGAAAUUUAGAACCGAGUUGAGUUAUACAUGUAAUUAAUAAAUACUUUUUAAAAUUCCAAAAAUGCAUUAUGUUACCUUACUCGUAGUUAUAAAUAAGCCUCUUUAGCUAUUACAUCGGCUUCACGUACAAUUUUCCUCACAAAUACAAAAGCUAAAAUCAGGAUGAGCUAGGCUGAUACUAUCUUUGGUGAGUAUAGCUACAGACUGGUUCUUUCAACCGUAAGAUAUAUCCUGAUGAAGAAAUUGUCUCCUACAACAGAUCAAACACACACAAGUUUAGUACAUUAAUUCUUCACGAGCUCCUGAUCUGCAGAUCUGAAUUUAAUAUUCGGAUUAUAAAACCUAUAACUAGUGUCUUAUUAAUAACGUUAGUCAGGUGUAGACCACCAUCAGUUCAGGACGCAAUCUGAUUGUAAAGCUGAUUUAUUGUUGCAAUAUAGUUUUCACAUUACAAAAAAAAAAGCACAAAAUGAUGAAUAUACACUUUUAUGUUUAGAGCAAUAAAAAUAAAUAAAAUAUGCAGAUUAAAAUUCUAAUAAAGAGAAAGAGAGAGAGUCCGGGCGGGGUAAACCCGGAAACCCGAAGAGUAACGCGGGUGGGCCUUAUCUUCAUCUUCCUCACCACACACACAACAAACACGCACACUCGUGGAUUUCAAACUUUGAGAGUAAUCUCAUCGGGACCUUUAUGAUCUCAUCGAACAUGCUUCUCCAUACGCUAUCGUCAUCGUCUCCACCCAUUCACCGCCUCUACCUCCACCAUUCUCAGAUUCUCCCUUCCUCUUCCUCUGUGUCUCUCAAGUUCCAUCCCAAAACGAUUUCUUUACAGGUAAACACUCCAACUUUCUCUCAAAGAAUCUGACUUUAUUGCAAUAUUAGAGAAUUCAAUUGGCUAAUCUUCCUCCAUGUUCUUUAAACGUGUGGAUGAAGGCAGAUACAUGGAAGGACUUUAGCUAUACGAUCUGCAGAACUUGCUGCUAGAGGGCUACCUUCUUUGAAGAAGCUGCCAAGCAAAGGAUCUACCUUUCUGCUGGGACAGAGCUUGUUGAUGGUCUCUGCUUAUCCAAACAUGGCAUCAGCGUCAGAGAGCGUGAAGCAUGAACCGGUUUACGAAGUUGGAGAGUUGUUUGAAUUAGGUAUUCAGCUUU
rnacentral:lncRNA from 1 species